UACGUAGGGACCAAGCGUUGUUCGGAUUUACUGGGCGUAAAGGGCGCGUAGGCGGCCAUUCAAGUCAGUUGUGAAAUCUCCGAGCUUAACUCGGAACGGUCAACUGAUACUGUUUUGCUAGAGUACAGAAGGGGCAAUCGGAAUUCUUGGUGUAGCGGUGAAAUGCGCAGAUAUCAGGAGGAACACCGGUGGCGAAGGCGGGUCUCUGGGCCGUAACUGACGCUGAGGAGCGAAAGCGUGGGGAGCGAACAGG
rnacentral:rRNA from 1 species